rnacentral:lncRNA from 1 species
ACACUGUCACCAACACCACACCAUCACCAUCAUUACCACCACCACCACCAUCACCAUCACCACCACCACCACCAUCACCAAUACCACCACCACCAUCACCAUCACCACCACCACCAAUACCACCACCACCAUCACCAUCACCACCACCACCAACACACCAUCACCAUCAUCACCACCAUCAUCACCACCAUCACCAUCUCCACACCAUCACCACCACCACCACCACCACCAUCACCAUCACCACCACCACCACCAUCACCGAACUCCUGACCUCAAGUGAUCCACCCACCUUGAACUCCUGACCUCAAGUGAUCCACCCACCUGGGCCCCCUAAAGUGCUGGGAUUACAGACAUGAGCCACCUUGCCCAGCCCUUUUCUGUGAUUCUUUUGCUUAUUAGUUGCUUUUGCUGUUCUGAUUAGGAGGAAAGCAAAGGUCCUGCUUCCGCAAAUAUGGG